UCCCCAUAUUCCCCUCCUGGAUACCCUCUGUCAGAUUGGGCAAGUUUAGCGAGUAGGAGAAGGUCAUUAGACUUGCUGUUAAGACACUUCACCUCAGAGCAGAGAAAGAAUUCUUGUCAAGGCCAAGACCAACUUCUUUGUUUUUAUCUUUAUUUGUUUAUUCACUGGUUCCUUAAUUUACAUUUUGGUACCAGAUAUUAACCCAGCUGUGCUUAACCUCCGAGCCACCUCCACGUCCCUUUCUAUGUUUAUUUUUUAUUUUGAGACAGUGUCUCUCUGAGUUGGUUAGGGCCUCCUUAAGUAGCCAAGGCUGGCCUUGAACUUGUGGAUCUUCCUGCCUCAGCCUCCCUCCUGAGUGGCUGGGAUUACAAGCAUGUUACCUUUUAGGCUAUUCUUUUUUUUAAGUGACAGAGAUCUGAAGAUGUUUAGCUGACAGAGAUUAAGAUUGAACCAGUGGGACAGUAUAUGGAAGGACACCUGGAGCCGGGAGCUGAGGAUGGGAUUCCCAUCAGAUGGAGAGUGGACCGGUGGAAGGCCCCCUUGACGCCUGAGACAGGAGGAAGGACACAGAUCCCAGUAGAAAGUGGAGCCCCUCCAUUGGUGGGCACCAUCCAGCUGGUGACAUGGGUAGAAACAGAAGCCUUUACAACUUGGGCACAUGUGCAUUGCCAGGCGCUCUUACCAUUGGUUACUAAGAUAGUUUCUAGUUCUUCAAUAUUUUAAGCAAUGACAAGUUAUAUUUUUUAAAAAAUCUAGCCUUUAUUUAUUUGUUGUUGGUUUGUUUUUUAUGUGGUGCUGAGGAUCGAACCCAGGGCCUUACCUGUCCUAGGCAGGCAGUCUACCACUGAGCCACAGCGCAGCCAAGAAAGUGAUUUUUUUAAUCAGCUUUUUUUCUUUAAAAAAGUUUCAAAAGCUCUGCUGACCCAGAUGGUAAAGGUGGACUUGCACACCAGUCACAGCAAUGGGGACAACCAGGACUAAUAGUGAAACAGAAUGACCGCAGCCCUCUACCGAAGGAAAGCCUGUGUGAACGCAUCUUCCUCCCAGAGCAUGGGGCACUGCACCCACCGCUCCUCUUGUGGCCAAGUGAGGUGCCACCGUGCCACAGAGGGGGGUGAGGAGUAUCCCCUCCUUUAUUAGGAGAAGUUGUCUGUGUCACUUGAAGAUGAGCUGUGUGCCAUGUGACCACCGCACAGUCACAGGAGGCAGCAGAGAGGAACACUGUGUUUCCUUCAAAGAGACAGGGUCUCACUGAGUUGCUUAAGGCCUUGCCAAAUUGCUGAGGCGGGCUUUGAACUGGUGAUCCUCUUACCUCAGCCUCCCGGGAUUACAGGCGUGUACCAACAUGCCUGGACAAGCAACACUUCCAAUCCUCUUGUACAGACUACAAAGAGAGACCAAGAGAGUAAUAUGGCUUUAUAAUACUUUUGUAACCUCUAGGUCUGUAUGUGGGCACCUGAUCAAGACUGCAGUAAGGAAUGUUUUGAUGUUUUCUUGAAUAAAAUGGUCUUUGACCAAACUUUUAUUGGUAUUGUUUAGCUUAGAGUUUUAGUAGCUUUUAUUUUCAAUAUUAUCAAUAAAUGCUCAUGUUUUUGAUAUCAUUAAGGUCAGUCUACAAGUUUUGUAUAAAUUAAGUCUAUUUCUGCUACCUUUAAAGAAAUGAAACCUCAUUUUGU